rnacentral:rRNA from 1 species
UACGGAGGAUGCGAGCGUUAUCCGGAUUUAUUGGGUUUAAAGGGUGCGUAGGCGGACGCUUAAGUCAGCGGUAAAAUUGCGGGGCUCAACCUCGUCGAGCCGUUGAAACUGGGUGCCUUGAGUGGGCGAGAAGUACGCGGAAUGCGUGGUGUAGCGGUGAAAUGCAUAGAUAUCACGCAGAACUCCGAUUGCGAAGGCAGCGUACCGGCGCCCAACUGACGCUGAGGCACGAAAGCGUGGGGAUCGAACAGG